GACGAACGCUGGCUGCGUGCUUAACACAUGCAAGUCGAACGGAAAGGCCCUGCUUGCAGGGUACUCGAGUGGCCAACGGGUGCGUAACACGUUGAUGCUCUUCCCUGCACUUCGGGAUAAACCUGUGAAACUUGGUCUAAUACCGUAUUGCAUCCAUUCUUCGUGUGAUGGUUUCAAAGUUUUUUCGGUGUAGGCUGAGCUCGCGGCCUAUCAGCUUGUUGGUGGGGUAAUGGCCUACCAAGGCGCCGACGGGUAGCCGGCCUGAGAGGGUGGACGGCCACAUUGUGAAAGAGAUAAGGCCCAGACGCCGAGGGGAGGAAGCAGUGGGGAAUAUGGCACAAUGGGCGCAAGCCUGAUGCAGCGACGACGCGUGGGGGAUGACGGCCUUCGGGUUGUAAACUGCUUUAGCGAGGGACGAAGCCUUUUGUGACGGUACCUAGAUAAGAAGCACCGGCUAACUACGUG
rnacentral:rRNA from 1 species